CAGCAUUAAAGAUGGCUACCGUUAAAGCGAGACUGGCGGUGGUUUUAAUAAACACAUAUUAGUAUCUAAUAAAAUUUUAUUAAAUACUAAUAAAAUUUUAUUCACUGCAAAACAAAUGAUAUUUAUAUGUAAUUAAUAUUUAUUGACAAGUAGUACUAACAUAAAGAAAUUCCAAAUACGUGUUUUUAUUCGCUGUGAAUAAAAUUGUCUCUCAGUGUAUGCACUUAGAUAAUAUGUUUCGUUUUAUUAUGUCAAUAGUUUAAGGUCAUGCUCAGCGAGUCGUCUUUCAUUUUUUAAAUAAUAAAUUACACUGGUCAUUUGUUGAUAAUGGUUUUUCCUAUCUGACGUCCAAAGUUGUGCAAUAUUAUGCUGAUCAAGCGAUAUUUCAUCUAUUUGUUGAUUUCAAUUAAUCUGAUUACAACGAAUUCAAAGGCCUAAAACACUAAAGGCCCAGAAUGCCAUUAGUUUUAAAGCUACUGAUAAGUGAUAAUAUUUGUUCGACUAAUCCACCAAUAAAGAAAUUAAGCUCCUCAAACAGCACUAGUCAAAAGAAGAAAGUAAAUGAACGAAGUUAUGGAAGUAUUGUAAUGCUGACAUUUACAAAAGACGGUGAAGAUAUCCAGGAAUAUUUGUCAAAUAUUCCGGGAACAAAAUCCUAAAAUCGGUGUUUUGAUUUUACAAGAGCAAGCAAAGUUUGUUUACUCACUCGUAGAAAAAUUCAUCGACGAUUGCUUCAAGCAAGUUAAUUAUAUUAUUCCAAUUUUAACCACUGGUUACAUUAAUCAUAUCAACAAUUUGACCAAUAAUGAUGAAGAAAGUUUGCUCAUUAAUUUGGACCAUAAAUAUGCCAAAUAUUUAUACUCGUUGAUGUGUUUUGAGUAUUGUAAAAAUAAUUGUCAUAACAAUCGCAUCAGUGGUAUGACUGGUUGGAAA